rnacentral:rRNA from 1 species
UACAGAGGUCCCAAGCGUUGUUCGGAUUCACUGGGCGUAAAGGGUGCGUAGGCGGUUUGACAAGUCUGAUGUGAAAUCCCGCAGCUUAACUGCGGAACUGCAUUGGAAACUGUUUGACUAGAGGAAUGGAGGGGAGACUGGAAUACUUGGUGUAGCAGUGAAAUGCGUAGAUAUCAAGUGGAACACCAGUGGCGAAGGCGAGUCUCUGGACAUUUCCUGACGCUGAGGCACGAAAGCCAGAGGAGCAAACGGG